rnacentral:rRNA from 1 species
GAUGAACGCUGGCGGCGUGCCUAAUACAUGCAAGUCGAGCGAACAGAUAAGGAGCUUGCUCCUUUGACGUUAGCGGCGGACGGGUGAGUAACACGUGGAUAACCUACCUAUAAGACUGGGAUAACUUCGGGAAACCGGAGCUAAUACCGGAUAACAUAUUGAACCGCAUUGUUCAAUAGUGAAAUUCGGCUUUUCUGUCACUUAUAGAUGGAUCCGCGCCGUAUUAGCUAGUUGGUAAGGUAACGGCUUACCAAGGCAACGAUACGUAGCCGACAGGAGAGGGUGAUCGGCGAAACUGGAAGUGAGACACGGUCCAGAGUCCUACGGGAGGCAGCAGUAGGGAAUCUUCCGCAAUGGGCGAAAGCCUGACGGAGCAACGCCGAGUGAGUGAUGAAGGUCUUCGGAUCGUAAAACUCUGUUAUCAGGGAAGAACAAAUGUGUAAGUAACUGUGCACAGCUUGACGGUACCUGAUCAGAAAGCCACGGCUAACUACGUG